UAAUGAUGAUUACAUUACUUUUAUUACAGAUGAAAAUGAUGGUGGUGUAAUUUUGUAAAGAUUAAGAUAUUUGGUAUUUUUCUUUCUGUUGUAGUACUUUUUGCAGAAUUCUUGAAUCAGCUAGGGUCAGUGUGUGUUUCAACAGAUUUCCUAGUUGAUUGUUACAGUUGUACUCUGAAAUCAUAAAUGUGUUAAAGCAAGAGAAAUUUAUCAGUUUAGAACAUUGCUCUAAAUAAUUAUGCAUUAUAAUUAUGACUUUAGUGCACAUUAAAAUAUAAUUGGAUUAAAGCUUUGUGUGAUUUGUCUUAAAAAGGUUUUUAUGGAGAGACUGAGUUAUUACACCUGAAUGCUAGUUACAAUUGUCGUUCUUAUCAAUAUUGCUGAGUGUGCUUAUAUACAUUUUGUAUCUGUUUGAUACCUGACUUGUUUUACUUUUUUCAGCGAGAUAUAAUGCUGCAGCAAAAGAUAUGGCAAACAUUUGGGGAUCAGUUCAUUAGUACCAACGCUCUGAUUAUAUUUUCUGGAAGGAGGAACAGACUUCCAUCGGGCAGUCGAGGCUUGUGGACUUCUGUAAACUGUGUACUCCUUCAUUUAUACACUGGAAAAGAAAGGAACACGUUGUGCAUUAACGCACGGUUGCAAACAUUUAUAUUAAUUUUUAUAAACUUUUUGAAAAGCGACAGCAACACCUACUAGCUUGAUUCACGAAACGAGUUACCAGUUAUUUCCACAAGUACUGUAAUGCAAUUCAAAAUAGCAUGAAAUAACCAUGAUCAUAUAUAUUUUGUUGCGCUUAAUGUCGCACCGACACAAUUAUUUCCAGCUUUGAUGGUAGACGAAGACCCCAGGCGACACUCCGAGCAUUGUUUCAUCACGAUAGGGCACCUGGGUAGAACCGCCGAUCUUCCUUUAGCCAGAUAAAUGGCUUCGUCAGACGAAAAAUUCAGCGUCCUGAGUGAGGCCGAGUUAAACUGGAACCCACAUCUAUCAGGGACAAAUGAUUCAAAGUCAGUGACCUUAACCACUUGGCCACAGAGGCGCCUGAAUAUGUAUAUUUACAACAACAUAGACAAUAAAAUGAACUUUUGAAUGUUUGAAAAAUCGGAUUAGAGUUUAUUGAAAAAAAAAUCAAAUUAUCUGAUUAUUUUCCGACUUCACAACUAAACAAUUGAAUUUACUCUAUUGUGAAUAUUGAUGGAAGGAAAAAUAACAUAAUUAUGACGUUUGUUUUUCAGUUACAUUUCAUGCGGUACAAUUUUGCAAAAUGUACGGAAUAUCUGUCGGGUGUGAUCAAGACAAAAUAUCCGGAAAAGGAGUCUGUCACUUGUGAGGCUAUGGCUACUUCCUAUAUAAACGGAUAUAUUCUCAGUAAUAUUUCCGUACUAGCCGACGACUUUGAAAGUCUACCAGAUGCACCAUUUAACCGCCACAAUGUAAAGAAAGGAAAAGUGUGCCUAUGUCAAUACCUAGAACCUAUUAUUCUACGGCGUGAUGUUAAUACAUAAGUCUUACUGGUUUGGAUUGUGUGAUAUGUCAUGUAUUUAUGUCCCUGGUAAC